CUUCUUAUGGAGGCAGCCAGUACGGUGGACAGGGUUCACCAUCCUCAGGAGGCAGCCAAUAUGGUGGACAGGGUCCAUAUUUCCCAGGUGGCAGCCAUUAUGGAGGACAGGGCUUUUCUUCAGGAGUCAGACAGUCUGGUGGACAGGGUGGGUGUGUGUGCCCCGGUGGAG